rnacentral:tRNA from 1 species
UGGGGAAUCGUCUAAUGGUAGGACAACGGACUCUGACUCCGUCAAUCGUGGUUCGAGUCCACGUUCCCCAGCCA